UACGUAUGGAGCAAGCGUUAUCCGGAUUUACUGGGUGUAAAGGGAGCGCAGGCGGUCUGGCAAGUCUGAUGUGAAAGGCCGGGGCUCAACUCCGGGACUGCAUUGGAAACUGUCAGACUGGAGUGUCGGAGAGGUAAGCGGAAUUCCUAGUGUAGCGGUGAAAUGCGUAGAUAUUAGGAGGAACACCAGUGGCGAAGGCAGCUUACUGGACGAUGACUGACGCUGAGGCUCGAAAGCGUGGGGAGCAAACAGG
rnacentral:rRNA from 1 species